rnacentral:rRNA from 1 species
CCUACGGGAGGCAGCAGUGAGGAAUAUUUGUCAAUGGGCUUACGCCUGAACCAGCCAAGUCGCGUGAGGGAAGACUGCCCUAUGGGUUGUAAACCUCUUUUGUCAGGGAGCAACGCCGGCUACGUGUAGCCGGACUGAGAGUACCUGAAGACAAAGCAUCGGCUAACUCCGUGCCAGCAGCCGCGGUAAUACGGAGGAUGCGAGCGUUAUCCGGAUUUAUUGGGUUUAAGGGGUGCGUAGGUGGAAUGCCAAGGCACCGGUAACAUCGCGGGGCUCAACCUCGUUCCGCCGUUGAAACUGGCGUGCUUGAGUGGGCGAUAAGUAUGCGGAAUGCGUGGUGUAGCGGUGAAAUGCAUAGAUAUCACGCAGAACUCCGAUUGCGAAGGCAGCAUACCGGCGCCCAACUGACGCUGAAGCACGAAGGCGUGGGUAUCGAACAGGAUUAGAUACCCCAGUAGUC